rnacentral:rRNA from 1 species
CCUACGGGAGGCAGCAGUAGGGAAUAUUGCUCAAUGGGGGAAACCCUGAAGCAGCAACGCCGCGUGGAGGAUGAAGGUUUUCGGAUUGUAAACCCCUUUUGUUAGAGAAGAUAAUGACGGUAUCUAACGAAUAAGCACCGGCUAACUCCGUGCCAGCAGCCGCGGUAAUACGGAGGGUGCAAGCGUUACUCGGAAGCACUGGGCGGAAAGAGCGCGUAGGCGGGAUAGCAAGUCAGAUGUGAAAUCCUAUGGCUUAACCAUAGAACUGCAUUUGAAACUGUUGUUCUGGAGGGUAGGAGAGGUGAGUGGAAUUCUUGGUGUAGGGGUAAAAUCCGUAGAGAUCAAGAGGAAUACUCAUUGCGAAGGCGACCUGCUGGAACGUAACUGACGCUGAUGCGCGAAAGCGUGGGGAGCAAACAGGAUUAGAUACCCGUGUAGUC